CUCAAGCUCUGUCAGGUUGGAUCUCGGGAGUGUCGUUGCACAGCUAUUUCCAGGUCUCUCCAGGGAUUUUCGAUCGGGUCCGAGUUCUGGCUUGGCCACUCAAGGACAUUCAGAGACUUCUCCCUAAUCCACUCCUGCUCUCACUAAACAGCUUGUAGUAACCCUGGAUUGUAAACUGUCAUGGUCAAAUAUUAUAACAUAUUCAUACAACAGUAGCUGAGAUGAGGAGAAGUCUGUCCUUAAUAAAGCGCUGCUCUACCUUCUUAACAGCACUAUCAACAAGGCAGGUCCUAGAGGUUCUAGUUUUGUGUCACCUGGACUACAGUUCAGUCGUGUGGUCAGGUGCCACAAAGACAGACUUAGGAAAAUUGCAAUUUGCUCAGAACAGGGCAGCACAGCUGGCCCUUGGAUGUACACAGAGAGCAAACAUUAAUAAUAUGCAUGUCAAUCUCUCCAGGCUCAAAGUAGUGGAGAAAUUGACUUCAUCACUACUUGUAUUUGUGAGAGGUAUUGGAAUGUUGAAAGCUCCAAGCUGUCUCUUUAAACGACUAGCACACAGAUCAGACACCCAUGCAUACCCCACAAGACAUGCCACCAGAGGUCUCUUCACAGUCCCCAAGUCCAGAACAGACUAUGGGAGGCACAUAGUACUACAUAGAGCCAUGACUACAUGGAACUUCAUUCCACAUCAGGUAACUGAUGCAAGCAACAGAAUCUGAUUUUUAAAAACAAUUAACUAAAUACACCUUAUGGAAAAGACUGUGAGGUAACAAACAACGCAGCUCCGCCCUCUCCAGCGUCACAUCUGGCCCUGAACAACCCACCUCCACCCUCUCCAGUCCUACAUCUGCCACCCCCCUUUCUCUCCGGGUCCUGUGACAGAUUCAUAUAAGAAAAUGUGCUUUAAACAUGGAUGCAAACUAGUCACCUUUCGGUGAAAUUCGCCGUUUUGAAUAGGUGGCCUACGUGAUUCGUGUAGGGGGGCUUUGGAUCACUACUGACUGUAAGCAAAUGAGUGAUUCGCGUUUGGAGCAAUACUGGCUGCAUCCAAGGCUCAGCCAAUCGUUCACAUAACAGAAUGCAGCACGUGACUGAAGAGAGAAGAGAAACAAUUUUCUAGUUACAUCAUCAGCGCUCUGGAAAGACGGCAGAGAGUGGAAAGGCAGUUUGCCAGUUACAGCAUUGCGUCCCCUGAAUGACAACGAACAAGUAGGUGAGAAGCCUGACCACGGAGACGGGGGUGAGAAGGUGAUGAAGCGUUCUUCAUGAGCUGUAACCGGGGGAAAAAACUGCCAUUUGGAAAGUUUGAGUAUGUGGUUACUUUUGAGAAUGAGAGAAUGAUGCAUUGCUUGUUAAACAAGUGGAUUCAGGGAUCAAGUGUAGCUGAAGCUGGGCCUGGCUUAAGAUGGAUGCCACUAUGGAGCUAACGGAAAUAAGUUUCAUUGCCCUUAACUUCAUCAUUCUCAUGACAUCCUCCCGGAUACUCUAGACCCACUCCAAUUCACAUACCGCCCCAACAGAUCCACAGAUGAUGCAAUCUCAAUCCCACUCCACACUGCCAUUUUCCACCUGU